rnacentral:lncRNA from 1 species
CGUGCAAGGUCGGAUUGUUGAUUUGAAAGGAGUUCUCUCAUCUUCUACUUCCUCUUUUAAAGAUUACUUGCUGGUUUCUUAGUGAAGAAACAAAAGAGAAGCUUUCCUAAAUCUAUCCCAUGGAUAUCUGUGGAGGUCGGAUGCUUGUGUAGCUCAAAAAAACUAUAAAGAGAUAUCCACGAUCAUCAGUUGCAGUGAAUAACUACCCGCACAAAAAUGAAGAUGAGAUCUUCAUAUUUUGCUUC